rnacentral:rRNA from 1 species
CCAAUAGCGUAUAUUAAAGUUGUUGCAGUUAAAAAGCUCGUAGUUGAAUUUCGGGAUCAGUACGCCGGUCGUGCCUCCGGUAUGUACUGGUGUCACUGAUUCCUCCCUUCUGAAGAACCAUCAUGCCAUUAAUUUGGUGUGGUGGGGAAUCAGGACUGUUACUUUGAAAAAAUUAGAGUGUUUAAAGCAGGCUCGCGCUUGAAUACAUUAGCAUGGAAUAAUGAAAUAGGACGUUUAUCCUAUUUUGUUGGUUUCUAGGAUUGACGUAAUGAUUAAUAGGGAUAGUUGGGGGCAUUAGUAUUCAAUUGUCAGAGGUGAAAUUCUUGGAUUUAUUGAAGACUAACUACUGCGAAAGCAUUUGCCAAGGAUGUUUUCAUUAAUCAAGAACGAAAGUUAGGGGAUCGAAGACGAUCAGAUACCGUCGUAGUCUUAACCAUAAACUAUGCCGACUAGGGAUCGGAUGAUGUUAAUUUUUUAAUGACUCAUUCGGCGCCUUACG